AAUGAACGUUGGCGGCAUGGAUUAGGCAUGCAAGUCGAGCGAGAAGUGUAGCAAUACACGGAAAGCGGCGGAAGGGAGAGUAAUACGUGAGAAUCUGCCCUUAGACCUGGGAUAGCAGCGGGAAACUGCUGGUAAUACCAGAUAAUGUCUAUGGACCAAAGGUGUGAUUCCGUCUAGGGAUGAGCCCACGUCCUAUUAGCUAGUUGGUAGGGUAAUGGCCUACCAAGGCGAUGAUGGGUAGCGGGUGUGAGAGCAUGACCCGCCUCACUGGGACUGAGAAACUGCCCAGACACCUACGGGUGGCUGCAGUCGAGAAUCUUCGGCAAUGGGCGCAAGCCUGACCGAGCGAUGCCGCGUGCGGGAUGAAGGCCUUCGGGUUGUAAACCGCUGUCGAGGGGGAGCAACUUCCAUAGAGUUAUCUUUAUGGAUUGAGUGAUCCCUGGAGGAAGGACGGGCUAAGUUCGUGCCAGCCGCCGCAGUAAAAC
rnacentral:rRNA from 1 species